CUACGGGUGGCUGCAGUGGGGAAUAUUGGACAAUGGGCGAAAGCCUGAUCCAGCCAUGCCGCGUGUGUGAAGAAGGCCUUCGGGUUGUAAAGCACUUUCAGUGGGGAAGAAAGCCUUGGGGCUAAUACCCUCGAGGAAGGACAUCACCCACAGAAGAAGCACCGGCUAACUCCGUGCCAGCAGCCGCGGUAAUACGGAGGGUGCGAGCGCUAAUCGGAAUUACUGGGCGUAAAGCGCGCGUAGGCGGUCUGAUAAGCCGGUUGUGAAAGCCCCGGGCUCAACCUGGGAACGGCAUCCGGAACUGUCAGGCUAGAGUGCAGGAGAGGAAGGUAGAAUUCCCGGUGUAGCGGUGAAAUGCGUAGAGAUCGGGAGGAAUACCAGUGGCGAAGGCGGCCUUCUGGACUGACACUGACGCUGAGGUGCGAAAGCGUGGGUAGCAAACAGGAUUAGAUACCCUUGUAGUC
rnacentral:rRNA from 1 species